rfam:Anas platyrhynchos breed Pekin duck contig23326, whole genome shotgun sequence.
CCAAAGGCUCUUUUAAGAGCCGCCCACCUUCUCUUCAGAAAGAGCU